GUGCCAGCCGCCGCGGUAAUACGGAGGGGGCUAGCGUUGUUCGGAAUUACUGGGCGUAAAGCGCACGUAGGCGGACCGUUAAGUCAGGGGUGAAAUCCCGGGGCUCAACCCCGGAACUGCCUUUGAUGCUGGCGGUCUAGAGUUCUGGAGAGGUGAGUGGAAUUCCGAGUGUAGAGGUGAAAUUCGUAGAUAUUCGGAGGAACACCAGUGGCGAAGGCGGCUCACUGGCCAGACACUGACGCGGAGGUGCGAAAGCGUGGGGAGCAAACAGGAUUAGAUACCCUGGUAGUCCACGCCCUAAACGAUGAAUGCCAGACGUCUGGCAGCAUGCUGUUCGGUGUCGCACCUAACGGAGUAAGCAUUCCGCCUGGGGAGUACGGCCGCAAGGUUAAAACUUAAAUGAAUUGGCGGGG
rnacentral:rRNA from 1 species